rnacentral:tRNA from 1 species
AGGGCUUUAGCCAAGCGGUAAGGCAUCAGACUUUGACUCUGACACUCACUGGUUCAAAUCCAGUAAGCCCUGCCA